UUUUUUAUUACAUUUUAAAUAUGCUUGCCUUUCUUUUGUUAAUUUGCAAAGUUGAACAAUUGUCUUUUUGAGCAUGUGGCAUGACUCGACAAGCAUUUACUUUUCUCUACAUCAGUUUCUUGAGAAUACAGUGCAAUGUAUAUUGACAAGAAGUAUUUAGGCCUCUUGUUUUAUAAGGUGUAAUCCUUCUGGAGCCAAAAGAACUCUUUCCCAAGUCAAAAUGAAACACAAAAACAUUCUCCAAAAGGUAAUAUUUUAUUUUAACUGUUGUAAGAUCAAUGUCUUAAGUUACUUUUACAGUAUUCUUCCUAUAUAGCUAAUAGAAAAAAGGCUGAGGCCCAUCUAACUGGUGGGGGUCCACCUCCACCUCCUCUCACCCCAUCUGAGGAGUUGGCUCUUUCACUUAAUAAAGGUCGCCCUGUGGUCGAUGGUAUUCCAGAGGGCACUUCGUCAGACUUUGCUACCUCCCACAACAACUCAAGUGACUUGGUACAAUUUGCUGAUGGACGCAUUGUAUUAUUGGAUCCUCCUGAAACCACACAGUCUGUCACAAUUGAUGAUGAUGAAGAGACCACAUCUGCUGUGACUGAAUUAGAAAGUGCUGGGAGACCCACGGAGGUAUGAUGCAUAUACUGGACACUGCAUAACUUUUUAGAUGGAGUGAAAAAUGUGUCAUUUGUCCUGUGACAGAAUCU